CAAUAGCGUAUAUUUAAGUUGUUGCAGUUAAAAGCUCGUAGUUGGAUUUCGGAUGUGAACGACCGGUCCGCCGUUGCGGUGUGCACUGGACGUUCGUAUCUUGUUGUCGGGAGCGCGCUCCUGGCCUUAACUGGUCGGGACGCGGAGUCGGCGCUGUUACUUUGAAAAAUUAGAGUGUUCAAAGCGGCUUACGCUUGAAUAUUUCAGCAUGGAAUAACACUAUAGGACUCCUGUCCUAUUUCGUUGGUCUCGGGACGGAGUAAUGAUUAAGAGGAACAGUUGGGGCAUUCGGUAUUUCUUGUCAUGAGGUGAAAUUGCUUGGAAUUUCUAGUGAAGUAUCAGAA
rnacentral:rRNA from 1 species